rnacentral:RNase_P_RNA from 1 species
UGUAAUUACUGAUGCUAUCGCUUUAAUGUAUGUUAAAGAGGAAAGUCCGGACACCAUAGAGCGGCAUAAUGGAUAACAUCCAUCUAUCGUGAGAUAUGGACUAGUGCAACAGAAAGCAAGUACAGUUCGGCUGUAGUGAAAUCAGGUAUACUCUAUGCGGUGCAAUACCAUGUAUAUCAGAACAUAAAGAUUGCUCGUCUUUUUCUGAGGGGUAGGUAGCUUGAAAUAAUAGGUAACUAUUAUUCUAGAUAAAUGAUGGCACUCAAAUAUGAGAACAGGAUCCGGCUUAUGUGUAAUUACAGUUA